rnacentral:rRNA from 1 species
GAUGAACGCUGGCGGCGUGCCUAAUACAUGCAAGUCGAGCGAACGGACGAGAAGCUUGCUUUUCUGAUGUUAGCGGCGGACGGGUGAGUAACACGUGGAUAACCUACCUAUAAGACUGGGAUAACUUCGGGAAACCGGAGCUAAUACCGGAUAAUAUUUUGAACCGCAUGGUUCAAAAGUGAAAGACGGUCUUGCUGUCACUUAUAGAUGGAUCCGCGCUGCAUUAGCUAGUUGGUAAGGUAACGGCUUACCAAGGCAACGAUGCAUAGCCGACCUGAGAGGCUGAUCGGCCACACUGGAACUGAGACACGGUCCAGACUCCUACGGGAGGCAGCAGUAGGGAAUCUUCCGCAAUGGGCGAAAGCCUGACGGAGCAACGCCGCGUGAGUGAUGAAGGUCUUCGGAUCGUAAAGCCCUGUUAUUAGGGAAGAACAGAUGUGUAAGAAACUGUGGACGUCUUGACGGUACCUAAUCAGAAAGCCCCGGCUAACUACGUG